GACGAACGCUGGCGGCGUGCUUAACACAUGCAAGUCGAACGGUGAAGCGCCUUCCUUUUUGGUGGGUGUGGAUGAGUGGCGAACGGGUGAGUAACACGUGAGUAACCUGCCCCCUUCUUCUGGAUAACCGCAUGAAAGUGUGGCUAAUACGGGAUAUUCUGGGUCUGUCGCAUGAUGGGUCUGGGAAAGAUAUUGUUUCGGUGGGGGAUGGGCUCGCGGCCUAUCAGCUUGUUGGUGGGGUGAUGGCCUACCAAGGCGGUGACGGGUAGCCGGCCUGAGAGGGUGGCCGGCCACACAGGGACUGAGACACGGCCCAGACUCCUACGGGGGGCAGCAGUGGGGAAUAUUGCACAAUGGGCGCAAGCCUGAUGCAGCGACGCCGCGUGAGGGAUGGAGGCCUUCGGGUUGUGAACCUCUUUCGCCAGUGAAGCAGGCCUGCCUCGUUUGUGGGUGGGUUGACGGUAGCUGGAUAAGAAGCGCCGGCUAACUACGUG
rnacentral:rRNA from 1 species